rnacentral:rRNA from 1 species
UGCUCGAGUGGCGAACUGGUGAGUAACACGUGAGUAACCUGCCCUUGACUUUGGGAUAACUUCAGGAAACUGGGGCUAAUACCGGAUAGGAGCUCCUGCUGCAUGGUGGGGGUUGGAAAGUUUCGGCGGUUGGGGAUGGACUCGCGGCUUAUCAGCUUGUUGGUGGGGUAGUGGCUUACCAAGGCUUUGACGGGUAGCCGGCCUGAGAGGGUGACCGGCCACAUUGGGACUGAGAUACGGCCCAG